GGGGAAUAUUGCACAAUGGGCGAAAGCCUGAUGCAGCAACGCCGCGUGAACGAUGAAGGUCUUCGGAUCGUAAAGUUCUGUUGCAGGGGAAGAUAAUGACGGUACCCUGUGAGGAAGCCCCGGCUAACUACGUGCCAGCAGCCGCGGUAAUACGUAGGGGGCUAGCGUUAUCCGGAUUUACUGGGCGUAAAGGGUGCGUAGGUGGUCUUUCAAGUCAGUGGUUAAAGCCUACGGCUCAACCGUAGUCAGCCUCUGAAACUGGAAGACUUGAGUGCAGGAGAGGAAAGUGGAAUUCCCAGUGUAGCGGUGAAAUGCGUAGAUAUUGGGAGGAACACCAGUAGCGAAGGCGGCUUUCUGGACUGCAACUGACACUGAGGCACGAAAGCGUGGGUAGCAAAC
rnacentral:rRNA from 1 species